GCCUGUUGGGCUCAGUCAGUAGAGCAUGUGACUCUUGAUCUCAAGGUUGUGAGUUCAAGCCCCACGUUGGGUA
rnacentral:tRNA from 1 species